AUAGAUUGAGAGUGAAUUGAUAUAGAAAAUUAGGGUUGUCGUCUUCUUCAGUCUGAAGAUUCCCUGUGUCAACAAUGGAAUUUCAGCAUUUCGAUCGAGUGAUACGAAACGUAACGAAGAAACUUUGGUGUCAAGUUUCGAUGGAGUCGAAUCGUCUAUGAUUCCUAUCUUCUGAGAUGUUACAAGAUGUCUUCAUUCAUCGCCUUUAAGAAGCCUCUUAAUUCCAUUGACGUACAUCAACAAUUUAUCAUUCAAUGCUGCUUAUCCAUCCUAUAAUCGGUGUUUCUCUUCCUAUAAAACGUCAACGCUCCUGCCUGCCACCGUUAAUGUUAACCGUCUCGCCACUUUCCGACACCACUUCAAGGCUGGUUCAAUGUUCACAUUCAGCAGAUUUGAUAUGACUUGGUGCAAUAAGAACUACAGGCUAUCCGAUUCUCCACUAUCCAUUCGGUUUAUGUUAUUCAACCAACUUUCCAUGCGUUAACCAAACCAGUUCUCCAAUCCCGAUUCGGUUUUUCGGGAUCACGAUUUGCUGCUUGGCCUAGCCAGUACGGACACGCAUCUUCUAGGUACAUCCUCUUAUUAGCUGUUAUUAAGCUUUCCUCAUCUCGCAGACGUUAUUGGUGAGCUAACAGCUGUGAAAAGUACAGUUAUUGACGUUCUCCAGGGAAAAGAACGUGUCAUGGCAACUAUCAAACUGGUGGUGAAUCUGUGAUUCCGAGUCUGUUUGACUUACAAGGACAUCUUCUUGAAUGCCAUUUUCCGACAAAGAGACUAAUGCAGGGGAGAACAUUAACUGUGGGAACAUCUUCAAGUGGUCUCAUCUACAAAAGGUGGACGUAAGUGGUAAGAUCGUAUGAAAUCAGCAACUGUGGGAACAUCUUCAAGUGGUCUCACAUCCAAAAGGCUCCAGCAACACCAACUACUAAGGUGGCCAAUAAGGCACGAGUGGCUUAGGUGAAGAUAAUAAAUUACUUGGAUGCAGUACUUUUAGAAUAAUGCUUAUGCAUCGAUGUUGUUUUCCUUUUUUUGUUUAACCUUUGAGUACUUACUGGGUUUUGAUAUGUUUUCAAAACUAUCUACCAAAUGCUUAUUUAUCAAAUUUAUCACAUCUCAUUAAAUAAAUAAGAUUGGGUUCACAUGCUAGCACAUAUUGUCAUAA